AGUGAACGCUGGCGGUAGGCCUAACACAUGCAAGUCGAACGGCAGCACAGUAAGGGCUUGCUCUUACGGGUGGCGAGUGGCGGACGGGUGAGGAAUACAUCGGAAUCUACUUUUUCGUGGGGGAUAACGUAGGGAAACUUACGCUAAUACCGCAUACGACCUACGGGUGAAAGCAGGGGAUCUUCGGACCUUGCGCGAUUGAAUGAGCCGAUGUCGGAUUAGCUAGUUGGCGGGGUAAAGGCCCACCAAGGCGACGAUCCGUAGCUGGUCUGAGAGGAUGAUCAGCCACACUGGAACUGAGACACGGUCCAGACUCCUACGGGAGGCAGCAGUGGGGAAUAUUGGACAAUGGGCGCAAGCCUGAUCCAGCCAUACCGCGUGGGUGAAGAAGGCCUUCGGGUUGUAAAGCCCUUUUGUUGGGAAAGAAAAGCAGCAGGUUAAUACCCCGCUGUUCUGACGGUACCCAAAGAAGAAGCACCGGCUAACUUCGU
rnacentral:rRNA from 1 species